GCGGAGCGCUGGCCCCGCCCCACCCCGGCCCGGCCCGGCCCGGCCCGGCCCACCACCGUGCCCGGAAGUCACGUGACGGCGGCGGUUCUCCCGCCUGCCAUAAGAUGGCGGCGGAGAUGUAUUCUGAAGAUUAAUACAUGAAGAAAUGUGAGCUGCUCAUCUAAUUACAUGCUCUUACCAGGGCAGAUGGGAAUGCCAUGCGUGCGAGCACCGUGGCGCGAUGAUGCAGCGCUGCCGUCUGGGUUCAAAGCAGGCAGCACGGGCAGAUCAGCCACUUACCUGCACAUCGCCUUUGGGGUUGGAGAGACUUACCUACUACAGAACCCAAGGGCUUGGACCAAUUGGGACCUGACUUCAAUGUUGGAAGCUGUGUGAGAGUUCAUAAAUCGUUCUGAUCAACAUUAAAAGACCAAAGCCUUCCAGCUUUCAUCUGAACACAAGACCAACAGUAUUGCACCACUUGGCAGGAUGAUUGCACAUCGCUACAAAAAUAUUGGCAAAGGCUACCUGAUAACCUGCCUACAAGAUGGCCUCACCACAGGAAGUGAUUCUGGAAAAACAACUUCUGUGGCUGAUCUCCAGCUAACUUGGAUCUGAGAACAUCAGUCAAAAGCCUGUUCUUCCCCCCUUCUCUGCUUGCACCUCUUCCCUAGCCCCCAUCUCUUACAUUUCAACUGGAGAAAGUGGCCACUCUUUUUCCAUUUAAAAGUAAAAAUAGGGAGCAACUUUCUCUUCUGCUCUAAGAAAGAUUGCUUACCUACCUGCAUUUAACUCUUGCUCUGAAAACGGACUUUGUUAUGCUUUUACGUUCAUUCAGCACAAGCACUCCGCUAAAUAUUUUGAUUCCUUUUCUCACGCGCAUCGGGAUGGAUACAUUUCCCAUUUUGGCAUGACUUUUCUCACACAGGUGGUACUAGGCAAGAUGAAAGCUAUGACCUCAAAUCCUUCAAACUUGCGUAACUAAGUUCACAUGACAGUGUCAUGCCUUUGAUUUUCAAGCACAAGAAGCGUGCACAGCACCCCACUGAUCACACAACUGAUCUGCUUCAAUGUAUUUUGGCUUUAGCUGACACUGGGUUAUAAAAGUACCAUACAGUAUAUGUCAUUAAUUUUUAAGUGGAACCAAUUAUUCAAUAUGCAAUGCUUAGUCUCAUUCAAGGUGUGCUGCAGUCAAAGGGAAUCAAAGGAAAUAUUUUCUUUGGCUUCAGGUGGCUUAUGAAUCAGGCGGCAUGUAUGGUAUUAAAACUUAAGGAAAGAGCUUAAAAUUAAAAAGAAGCCACAUUAAUAGUUUCUUCCUCAGAAAGUCCUGUUGGGCUAAAAAAAGGAUAUUAAAAAAAAGAACUUUGUUUUUUCUCUGCUGUACUAAAAAUGGCAUAUUGUGGUUG